GCUGGUCCCGCGACGCUGUCGUGGCGAGUUGGGCACGCAGAGAGAUUUGGCGAUUUCCUUUUUUCCCUUUUUUGGUACCGCGGAUGGAAUCCAGGGGCGCUUAAGAAAAACAAGGGAGAGAACUGAAUUGCAGCAGAUGAGCCCUGGGCAGGAAGCUCCUAUUUAGCACAAGUGAAGCCCUGUGUUCAACCCAGCAUCAAAUAAAAUACCGACCAUGCUCGCCAGAGAGGUGGCUCUGCUUGUUCUUUAUCCAGCCUGAAGUCAUUGAGCCAGCCCUUAUCCCCGGCCCUGGGGGGACACAGCAGAAAAUAAUACAGAGAAGAAGUUCUGCCUUCCUGAAGCCCCAGCCGAGUGGACAGAAAUGGAUCAGAAAGGAGGAGGUCACUGCUCCACCCGCCACGGACAGCAAGCACCGUCAUGUGACUUGCUUAGGCAACAGAAUGUGAGCUAAAGUGAGGUCAGCUGAUUCCCAGCAGAAGUUCUGAGCCUGAAAAGUUCUUGCUUCAUCCAUGGUUCUUCUUCAAUCAGUCACAAUAACUGCCUGUCCCAGAGGGUGUUGCUCCUUCGGCCAUGAUCCCAGAUGAGGUCACAUGGAAAAGACCCCCAGCCGACCUGCAGUGCACAUGAAACCGUGAGAGAGGAAGUGAUCAUGUGAGCCCCCGAGAUGCUGGGCUUGUUUGUUACUGCAGCAACAUGUAGCAGAAGCUGACAUAGAAAAAAAUCAUCACCGA